AUUGAACGCUGGCGGCAGGCCUAACACAUGCAAGUCGGGCGAGCGGGGGACGGGUGAGUUAUAUGUGGGGACUGCCUGAUGGAGGGGGAACACUACGGGAAACGGUAGCUAACACCGCAAUCACGCAGAACCCACAUAUGGGAUUAGCUUGUAGGUGAGGUAACGGCUCACCUAGGACACGAUCCCUAGCUGGUCUGAGAGGAUGAUCAGCCAAACUGGGACUGAGACACGGCCCAGACUCCUACGGAGGCAGCAGUGGGGAAUAUUGCACAAUGGGCGCAAGCCUGAUGCAGCCAUGCCGCGUGUAUGAAGAAGGCCCUCGGGUUGUAAAGUACUUUCAGUCGGGAGGCGUUACCGACAGAAGAAGCACCGGCUAACUCCGUGCCAGCAGCCGCGGUAAUAC
rnacentral:rRNA from 1 species